UAAAAUAAUAAAGUAAUUGUUAAAGGCUAUGGAGGAGCUAUGAGGAGGAGAGAAGACAGAACAGACUGGGGCCUGGUGGACUGGACCCUGUGGAAGUCUACGACACUCUGCAGAGGAAAUGAAGAAGUGUUUUGAUGAUAAAGACAUCUCAAUGCUGCAGGAAGCUGUCAGCAAAUGGACCCCAUGGAGGCAAAGGGCCACAUGAAGAGGUGUAUUGACUCAGGACUCUGGGUUCCUAACGCCAAUACCGACAACGAGAGGACAAAGAAGAAGACGAGGAAGAGGACAAAGAAGACGAGGAAGAACAGAGAAGGAGGGAGAGGCGGAGAAGGAGAAAUGACUCUGUCAUGAAUUGAACCCUUCCGUUAGACUUUUGACCUUCUCAGACCUAGCUACACCCUUUACUAGCGUUAGCUUGCCUUAUUGAAAACAUGCUGUGAAGAUGCUAACUUCCCUAGCAUUAAUUGAGCUAGUAUCACUAGCAUUAGCCUGACCCAUUGAAAACCUGCACCGGGCAGUAUUUACAAAGAGUCUCAGAGUAGGACCGCUGAUCUGGAUCUGAUCUGAACAACAUCACAUGGACAAGGGGACCUGAUCCUAGAUCAGCACUCCUAUUGAUCUGAUCUGAACACCAUCACAUGGACAAGGGGACCUGACCCUAGAUCAGCACUCCUAUUCUGAGAUGAUUUAUGAAUUUGU